AGGACCUGGUCAGUUGGGUCCAGUCAGUGGGGGCCUGGUCAGUGGAGACCUAGGCCAUCAGUGGGUCCUGGAUAGUGAGGCCUGGUCAUUGGGGUCCUGGAGAUGGUGAAUUUCAGCCAGAGCGCCCAAAGAACUCGUGUCCCGCGCUCCUGAACGCCAUCAGCCGCCGCACCUCCAUCUUCCCUCCUCCCACGAGUCUCCUGCUCCCCGUGACUCUGGCCUCCUCGCAGUGUUGCUGGGCCACGUCAGGAAGUGCUGGAGGACGUGGCAUUGCACCAACACCAGGCGGCCAGCCGUGUGGCUCAUCCCGCAAAUCAGGCUCUUCCUGUGCAUGGAGAUGGAGUCCCUCUGGAGGCAGCCCGUGGCCCUGUUCUCGGGCAGGUGGAGCAUGGAGACGACUGGGAACUUCACUAGACACGCAUCCAGCCGGUUCAAGGGCUUGUCGCGCCGUGCACCAGCUUGCAGGAGAAAGCCCAACGCCUCGCCAAGCACGAAGGCCUCCCUUCCCGACUUGAUGAAGGCAGAGUAGCGGUUGAGGUUGCGGCUCACAGUGACCGAGCUCCUGCCCACGUGGGGACCCAGGGAGCCGUCGAGCUCCAGGUAUGCACCUCUGCCCAGUGCACCUGGAUCGUUCACCGUCAUGGAGCUGCCAUCCCACUUGUCGUCCCAGUCAUCAUCACUGCCCUAGCUGGCCUAGUUGCCACCAAGGAGCUGCUGAGGCCACGGCUUCAGGGCAUCCCUACCGCCUGGAAAUCCUGCGCUGGCUGCUGGAAGGCACUCUGUGGUGGCACCAGCUGCGGCUGCAGUAGCAGCUGGAAAGCACUGAGAGAUGGCUUCAAGGAGGCAGGCAGUGCACCGGGCAGGGCCUUGAAACCUCUGGGUGGUACAAUGGCCAUGGCACAGUGGGUCAAGGCACAGGGGCAGCCAUGGCGCGCUGGGCCAGUCCAGGGUUGCAGACCACUUGCACUGCAGAUAUAAGGCCAGGGUUGCUGAGGCCAUGAGCCCCUGCGAGUCAGCCCUUGAUGUCCUGCUCACUACACAGGCUCAGCACUUCAUGUUCUCAU
rnacentral:lncRNA from 1 species